AGCGUUGUCCGGAUUUAUUGGGCGUAAAGCGAGCGCAGGCGGUUUCUUAAGUCUGAUGUGAAAGCCCCCGGCUCAACCGGGGAGGGUCAUUGGAAACUGGGAGACUUGAGUGCAGAAGAGGAGAGUGGAAUUCCAUGUGUAGCGGUGAAAUGCGUAGAUAUAUGGAGGAACACCAGUGGCGAAGGCGGCUCUCUGGUCUGUA
rnacentral:rRNA from 1 species